CCUACGGGGGGCAGCAGUGGGGAAUAUUGGACAAUGGGGGCAACCCUGAUCCAGCCAUGCCGCGUGUGUGAAGAAGGCCCUCGGGUUGUAAAGCACUUUCAGUGAGGAAGAACGCCUGGUGGUUAAUACCCAUCAGGAAAGACAUCACUCACAGAAGAAGCACCGGCUAACUCCGUGCCAGCAGCCGCGGUAAUACGGAGGGUGCGAGCGUUAAUCGGAAUUACUGGGCGUAAAGCGCGCGUAGGUGGCUUGAUAAGCCGGUUGUGAAAGCCCCGGGCUCAACCUGGGAACGGCAUCCGGAACUGUCAAGCUAGAGUGCAGGAGAGGAAGGUAGAAUUCCCGGUGUAGCGGUGAAAUGCGUAGAGAUCGGGAGGAAUACCAGUGGCGAAGGCGGCCUUCUGGACUGACACUGACACUGAGGUGCGAAAGCGUGGGUAACAAACAGGAUUAGAUACCCUAGUAGUC
rnacentral:rRNA from 1 species